AUUGAACGCUGGCGGCAGGCCUAACACAUGCAAGUCGAGCGGAUGAAGGGAGCUUGCUCCUGGAUUCAGCGGCGGACGGGUGAGUAAUGCUUAGGAAUCUGCCCGGUAGUGUGGGAUAACGUCCGGAAACGGGCGCUAAUACCGCAUACGUCCUGAGGGAGAAAGUGGGGGAUCUUCGGACUUCACGCUAUCGGGUGAGACUAGGUCGGAUUAGCUAGUUGGUGGGGUAAAGGCCUACCAAGGCGACGAUCCGUAACUGGACUGAGAGGAUGGUCAGUCACACUGGAAGUGAGACACGGUCCAGAGUCCUACGGGAGGCAGCAGAGGGGAAUGUUGGACAAUGGGCGAAAGCCUGAUCCAGCCAGGCCGCGUGUGUGAAGACGGUCUUCGGAUUGUAAAGCACUUUAAGUUGGGAGGAAGGGCAGUAAGUUGAUACCUUGCUGUUUUGACGUUACCAAGAGAAUAAGCACCGGCUAACUACGUG
rnacentral:rRNA from 1 species